GACGUCAUCAACAAACUGACGUUAUUUUAGUGCAUUUUCCGAUUGAAUUCAAACGGGAUGGAGCGAAAGAAAAACAAAGGAUCGCAGUCUCACAAAGAAUAAAAAAUGACACAUCCGUUCGGCCGUUAUAAACAACUGAAGAGGGAAAAACAACCGCAAAGAAAAAGGGAAAUAAACAAAAAUAUUAUGAAAAAGCCAAAGGAAAUGAAAUAAUUUCGAAUAGCUCUAUUGCAGUCUUGAAACGCAAUCAAAGGCAGCGAAAUAAGUUAAAACAGAACAAAUUGAAUGAACAGAAAGCUAGACACAGGGAAUACCAACGAUGUUAUGAAACAAAGAAAAAGGAGAAACAACAACAUGAUUUAAUUACAAUA